CUCAUAUUUGAGUGAAGAGAAACAGGAAGUGUCCCUCUUUUCCCAUUCCUCCUCCAGCAGCGCAAUGUGAUCCACCAGCAAGGAGGGAUGCCAAUAAGGCUUCCGAUAAGCCUUCAUCCAGCAGCUGGUGGAAGUAGAAGGAGAUACCCACAACUAAUCACCGAACUGAACUGGAACCAAGAUGCAGAGAAGGACGAGUGAAGAGCACAGGGGUCCAGACCAGGCUGGUGAAAACCACAGAAACAGCUGAACUGAACAUCGGAGAACUCUUGCUCCCCAGACUGAUACCUGGGAUACUAGCAUGGGACUGAUCCAGACCCCAGGAACAUGGGUUUCCAUGAGGAAACCUCAGAAACCUACGGGACCUCCUGUAGUAGUUCAGUAAUUAUCCCUAGCAUAGGUGUGGACUUUGGGAGCCCAUUCCACAUAGAGGAAUACUCCCUGAGCCAAGACACACAGGGGUGGGCCUAGGCCCUAUCCCAAAGGAUACAAUAGACACUGAUGACACCCUAUGGAAGGCCUCACCAUCAAGGGGGAGCAGAAAGGAUAUGUGAUACAUAGGAUUUUAGUUGGGAGGGGUGGUAGAGGAAGCCGGGUGGGAGAAGGGAACUGGGAUUGUCAUGUAAAACAAUCCUGUUUCUAAUACAAAUAAAAAAAGUUAAAAUGAUUUAUUGUUUUUAUGUGUGAGGCUAUUUUGUCUGUGUGCCACCAUGUGCAUGCAGUGCAUAUGAUUGCCAUUAGAGGGCGACAGAUCUUCUGAGACUAGAGUUAAUAGAUGGUUGUGAGCCACCAUUUGGGUAUUGAGAAUUGGAAUUUUUUUUUUUUUAGAUUUUUUAAAUUUAAAUUAGAAAAAAGCUUGUUUUACAGGUUAAUCCCAAUUUCUUCUUCCUCUCCUCCUCCUCUGCCCCCUACUAAUCUCCAUCCCAUCUCCGUUCUGCUCCCCCAGGAGGAUGAGGCCUUCUAAUGGGGGCUCUAGAAAGUCUGUCAUAUCAUUUGGAGCAGGGCCUACACCCUCCCCAGUGUGUCUAGGCUGGGAGAAUGUCCCUCUAUGUGGAAUGAGCUCCCAAAGUCCAUUUGUGUACUAGGGAUAAAUACUGAUCUACUAGCAGAGGCUCAAGAUUGCCAAGGCCUCCAAAUUGACAUCCCAUGUUCAGGGUGUCUGGAACAGUUCUAUGCUGGUUUCUGAGCUGUCAAUCUGAGGCCCAUGAGCAACCCCUUGUUCAGGUCAGCUGUUUCGAUGGGUUUCUCCAACCUGGUCUUGACCCAUUUGCUCAUCACUUCUCCCUCUCUGCAACUGGAUUCCAGGAGUUCAGUUCGGUGUUUAGCUGUGGGUGUCUGCUUCUGCUUCCUUCAGCUACUGGAUGAAUGCUCUAGAAUAUAAGGUAGUCAUCAAUCUCAGAGUCCUCUGGAAGAUCCACUAGUGCUCUCAGCUGUGAGCCAUUUGUCAAGACACUUGUCACACAUAUUUUGAGUACCAAUCCAGCCCAUGAUGUCACACAUUGGAAUACUAGAGUUUAAAAUGUCUGAGCGGAAGCUAAAACAUCUCUUUUGGAAUACAUAUUUAUCCUCAUCUCAGAGAAUUCAUACAAGUAAAUUUGCCGGAAAAUGAGCAGCUCUCCAGCAGCAGCUGAUGGCCCUUAGAAGAAUCAGGGCCUGCCACGUGUGACAGUCACUAGUAAUAGAUCCUUGCAGCCCUUCAUGAGAAAUGGAAUGGGUGCUACAGAAAAGACAUUUGUGACAGUGAACAUUUUUGGAAAUGUCUUUGGGGAACAGGAAAUGAAAAUCUACACAAAAAACAAAAGGCUUAACAGAUCUGAAUAUGAACCAGACAGGCAAGCCUUAUGUGGUCC
rnacentral:lncRNA from 1 species